rnacentral:rRNA from 1 species
GAAUGCUGACAUAAGUAACGAUAAAGCGGGUGAAAAGCCCGCUCGCCGGAAGACCAAGGGUUCCUGUCCAACGUUAAUCGGGGCAGGGUGAGUCGACCCCUAAGGCGAGGCCGAAAGGCGUAGUCGAUGGGAAACAGGUUAAUAUUCCUGUACUUGGUGUUACUGCGAAGGGGGGACGGAGAAGGCUAUGUUGGCCGGGCGACGGUUGUCCCGGUUUAAGCGUGUAGGCUGGUUUUCCAGGCAAAUCCGGAAAACC